CAAGGAUUCCCCUAGUAACGGCGAGUGAAGCGGGAAGAGCACAAAUUUAAAAUCUACCUGGUUUCCAGGUCGAGUUGUAAUUUGAAGAAACGUUUUUGACGUUCCGRGUUGGGAUAAAUCCUUUGGGAUGAGGUAUCAUGGAGGGUGAGAAUCCCGUGUAUACCAACCGCAGGGAUGUUAUUUAAUACGUUUUCUAAGAGUCGAGUUGUUUGGGAAUGCAGCUCUAAAUGGGUGGUAAAUUUCACCUAAUGCUAAAUAUAAGCGAGAGACCGAUAGCGAACAAGUACCGUGAGGGAAAGAUGAAAAGAACUUUGAAAAGAGAGUUAAAUAGUACGUGAAAUUGUUGAAAGGGAAACGAUUGAAGUCAGUCAUGCCGGCGGGAAUCAACUUAGGGGAAACUYUAAGUGCACUUCACGUUUGGCAGGUCAGCGUCGAUUUUGGAUAUCAUAAAAUGAUUGGGGGAAGGUAGCUCCUUCGGGAGUGUUAUAGCCCUUGAUAGAUGUGAUGUCUGGGAUCGAGGAUUGCAACGGAUAYCCUUUGGGCUAGCCGCCUGAUCUCUAACUGGUGUURRGUUACGGACAGCAUGCUGACCGUGAUUUAAUUACUGGUUAAAAGGUUAGAGCGAGUGUAAAUUCGUUAAGGACGCUGACGU
rnacentral:rRNA from 1 species